rnacentral:RNase_P_RNA from 1 species
AGGAGGUAAUGGAUGAUGAAGGUUUUUUUAAAAUCAGGAAAGUCCAGUUUACUAAAGGAACGGAUAUCAAAGUAAUUUGAUCAGGUGGAAAUCUGCCUCUGGGCAUAGAAACGUAUGCUACUAUAUGUAGUCUGGAACGAGCCAAGAUCCGGUAACAAGCUAAAAUACUCAAACAAUUAAAUUUGUAACUUUUCCUUUGAGUGAGUUAAGGUAUGCGCGUAGAUAAAUAUCAUCAAGAGAAAAGCAAGAAAUAAUCGGUGCACUCUUACAGAAACUGGCUUAUAGUUACCUCCA